rnacentral:rRNA from 1 species
CGGUAACACAUGUAAGACUGGUGUUAUUCRUCUUUAAUCGGUUUAAAGGGUACCUAGACAGUUAAUUAAGCCUYUAAAAGGUACUAAUAAACUAGAGUUUAAUAUAAGAAGAAGAGUACGGUGAGUGUAAAGAUAAAAUUUUGWGAUMCCACUUAGAAACUGGCAAAAGSGAAGGCAAUCUUCUAUGUAAAAACUGACGUUGAGGGACGAAGGCUUGUUAAAAAUAAUAGGAUUAGAUACCCUAGUAUUGUGAGCAGACAAUGAUGAAUGCCAUAUGCAAGAAUUUAUUUUUUGUGUAUAAAUGAAAGUGUAAGCAUUCCACCUCAAGAGUAAUAUGGCAACAUAUAAACUGAAAUCAUUAGACCGUUUCUGAAACUCGUAGUGAAGUAUGUUGUUUAAUUUGAUGAUYCACAAAGAACCUUACCACAAUUUGAAUGUUUAUAUACAAAKUUAUAUAUUUUKGKAUAUGUGUGUAUAUAGAUACAAGCGUUGCACGGCUGUCUUCAGUUAAUGUCGUGAGACUUUGGUUAGAUCCAUUAAAUUAACGUAUAACCUUUAUUUUAUUUARUAUAAAAUAGUUCGCCGCUAUAUU